AACGAACGCUGGCGGCAUGCCUAACACAUGCAAGUCGAACGAGACCUUCGGGUCUAGUGGCGCACGGGUGCGUAACGCGUGGGAACCUGCCCUUAGGUUCGGAAUAACUCCCCGAAAGGGGUGCUAAUACCGGAGAAUGUCUUCGGACCAAAGAUUUCUCGCCUUUGGAUGGGCCCGCGUUGGAUUAGCUAGUUGGUAGGGUAAAAGCCUACCAAGGCGACGAUCCAUAGCGGGUCUGAGAGGAUGAUCAGCCACACUGGGACUGAGACACGGCCCAGACUCCUACGGGAGGCAGCAGUGGGGAAUAUUGGACAAUGGGCGAAAGCCUGAUCCAGCAAUGCCGCGUGAGUGAUGAAGGCCUUAGGGUUGUAAAGCUCUUUUACCCGGGAUGAUAAUGACAGUACCGGGAGAAUAAGCUCCGGCUAACUCCGUG
rnacentral:rRNA from 1 species